rnacentral:rRNA from 1 species
UACGGGGGGGGCGAGCGUUGUUCGGAAUUACUGGGCGUAAAGGGUUUGUAGGUGGUCUGCUAAGUCAGACGUGAAAUCCCUCAGCUUAACUGGGGAACUGCGUCUGAUACUGGCGGACUUGAGGACAGGAGAUGAACGCGGAAUUCCAGGUGUAGCGGUGAAAUGCGUAGAUAUCUGGAGGAACACCGGUGGCGAAGGCGGCGUUCUGGACUGUUUCUGACACUGAAAAACGAAAGCCAGGGGAGCAAACGGG